rnacentral:lncRNA from 1 species
AAGACCCCCCAGCGGAAAAAUGGCCAAAAAACGGGUGGGCUAUAGCCUUGGUGGGGGGCGUGGGCGAAGUUCUUCCGCCGGACUCGGAAUGGCCCCAGACUUUGCGGGCGGCCUCCGUGUGCCAAAAAUAGGCCACGGGCACAGCCGCGCCCAAAAAUCAGCCCCCGAAGGUCGGGGCGCCAAGACCCCCCAGCGGAAAAAUGGCCAAAAAACGGGUGGGCUAUAGCCUUGGUGGGGGGCGUGGGCGAACUUCGUCCGCCGGACUCGGAAUGGCCCCAGACUUUGCGAGCGACCUCCGUGUGCCAAAAAUAGGCCACGGGGAAAGCCGUGCCCAGAAAUGAGCCCCUGAAUGUCGGGGCGCCAAGACCCCCCAGCGGAAAAAUUGCCAAAAAACGGGUGGGCUAUAGCCUUGGUGGGGGGCGUGGGCGAACUUCGUCCGCCGGACUCGGAAUGGCCCCAGACUUUGCGGGCGACCUCCGUGUGCCAAAAAUAGGCCACGGGCAAAGCCGUGCCCAGAAAUGAGCCCCUGAAUGUCGGGGCGCCUAGACACCCCAGCGGAAAAAUUGCCAAAAAACGGGUGGGCUAUAGCCUUGGUGGGGGGCGUGGGCGAAGUUCGUCCGCCGGACUCGGAAUGGCCCCAGACUUUGCGGGCGGCCUCCGUGUGCCAAAAUUAGGCCACGGGCACAGCCGCGCCCAAAAAUCAGCCCCCGAAGGUCGGGGCGCCAAGACCCCCCAGCGGAAAAAUGGCCAAAAAACGGGUGGGCUAUAGCCUUGGUGGGGGGCGUGGUCGAAGUUCGUCCGCCGGACUCGGAAUGGCCCCAGACUUUGCGGGCGACCUCCGUGUGCCAAAAAUAGGCCACGGGCAAAGCCGUGCCCAAAAAUGAGCCCUGAAUGGCGGGGCGCCAAGACACCCCAGCGGAAAAAUUGCCAAAAAACGGGUGGGCUAUAGCCUUGGUGGGGGGCGUGGGCGAAGUUCGUCCGCCGGACUCGGAAUGGCCCCAGACUUUGCGGGCGGCCUCCGUGUGCCAAAAAUAGGCCACGGGCAAAGCCGUGCCCAGAAAUGAGCCCCUGAAUGUCGGGGCGCCAAGACACCCCAGCGGAAAAAUGGCCAAAAAACGGGUGGGCUAUAGCCUUGGUGGGGGGCGUGGGCGAAGUUCGUCCGCCGGACUCGGAAUGGCCCCAGACUUUGCGGGCGGCCUCCGUGUGCCAAAAUUAGGCCACGGGCACAGCCGUGCCCAGAAAUGAGCCCCUGAAUGUCGGGGCGCCAAGACACCCCAGCGGAAAAAUGGCCAAAAAACGGGUGGGCUAUAGCCUUGGUGGGGGGCGUGGGCGAAGUUCGUCCGCCGGACUCGGAAUGGCCCCAGACUUUGCGGGCGGCCUCCGUGUGCCAAAAAUAGGCCACGGCCACAGCCGCGCCCAAAAAUCAGCCCCCGAAGGUCGGGGCGCCAAGACCCCCCAGCGGAAAAAUGGCCAAAAAACGGGUGGGCUAUAGCCUUGGUGGGGGGCGUGGGCGAAGUUCGUCCGCCGGACUCGGAAUGGCCCCAGACUUUGCGGGCGGCCUCCGUGUGCCAAAAAUAGGCCACGGCCACAGCCGCGCCCAAAAAUCAGCCCCCGAAGGUCGGGGCGCCAAGACCCCCCAGCGGAAAAAUGGCCAAAAAACGGGUGGGCUAUAGCCUUGGUGGGGGGCGUGGGCGAACUUCGUCCGCCGGACUCGGAAUGGCCCCAGACUUUGCGAGCGACCUCCGUGUGCCAAAAAUAGGCCACGGGGAAAGCCGUGCCCAGAAAUGAGCCCCUGAAUGUCGGGGCGCCAAGACCCCCCAGCGGAAAAAUAGCCAAAAAACGGGUGGGCUAUAGCCUUGGUGGGGGGCGUGGGCGAAGUUCGUCCGCCGGACUCGGAAUGGCCCCAGACUUUGCGGGCGGCCUCCGUGUGCCAAAAAUAGGCCACGGCCACAGCCGCGCCCAAAAAUCAGCCCCCGAAGGUCGGGGCGCCAAGACCCCCCAGCGGAAAAAUGGCCAAAAAACGGGUGGGCUAUAGCCUUGGUGGGGGGCGUGGGCGAACUUCGACCGCCGGACUCGGAAUGGCCCCAGACUUUGCGGGCGGCCUCCGUGUGCCAAAAAUAAGCCACGGCCACAGCCGCGCCCAAAAAUCAGCCCCCGAAGGUCGGGGCGCCAAGACCCCCCAGCGGAAAAAUGGCCAAAAAUCGGGUGGGCUAUAGCCUUGGUGGGGGGCGUGGGCGAAGUUCGUCCGCCGGACUCGGAAUGGCCCCAGACUUUGCGGGCGGCCUCCGUGUGCCAAAAAUAGGCCACGGGCAAAGCCGUGCCCAGAAAUGAGCCCCUGAAUGUCGGGGCGCCAAGACACCCCAGCGGAAAAAUGGCCAAAAAACGGGUGGGCUAUAGCCUUGGUGGGGGGCGUGGGCGAAGUUCGUCCGCCGGACUCGGAAUGGCCCCAGACUUUGCGGGCGGCCUCCGUGUGCCAAAAUUAGGCCACGGGCACAGCCGUGCCCAGAAAUGAGCCCCUGAAUGUCGGGGCGCCAAGACACCCCAGCGGAAAAAUGGCCAAAAAACGGGUGGGCUAUAGCCUUGGUGGGGGGCGUGGGCGAAGUUCGUCCGCCGGACUCGGAAUGGCCCCAGACUUUGCGGGCGGCCUCCGUGUGCCAAAAAUAGGCCACGGCCACAGCCGCGCCCAAAAAUCAGCCCCCGAAGGUCGGGGCGCCAAGACCCCCCAGCGGAAAAAUGGCCAAAAAACGGGUGGGCUAUAGCCUUGGUGGGGGGCGUGGGCGAAGUUCGUCCGCCGGACUCGGAAUGGCCCCAGACUUUGCGGGCGGCCUCCGUGUGCCAAAAAUAGGCCACGGCCACAGCCGCGCCCAAAAAUCAGCCCCCGAAGGUCGGGGCGCCAAGACCCCCCAGCGGAAAAAUGGCCAAAAAACGGGUGGGCUAUAGCCUUCGUGGGGGGCGUGGGCGAACUUCGUCCGCCGGACUCGGAAUGGCCCCAGACUUUGCGGGCGACCUCCGUGUGCCAAAAAUAGGCCACGGGCAAAGCCGUGCCCAGAAAUGAACCCCUGAAUGUCGGGGCGCCAAGAACCCCCAGCGGAAAAAUUGCCAAAAAACGGGUGGGCUAUAGCCUUGGUGGGGGGCGUGGGCGAACUUCGUCCGCCGGACUCGGAAUGGCCCCAGACUUUGCGGGCGACCUCCGUGUGCCAAAAAUAGGCCACGGGCAAAGCCGUGCCCAGAAAUGAGCCCCUGAAUGUAGGGGCGCCAAGACACCCCAGCGGAAAAAUUGCCAAAAAACGGGUGGGCUAUAGCCUUGGUGGGGGGCGUGGGCGAAGUUCGUCCGCCGGACUCGGAAUGGCCCCAGACUUUGCGGGCGGCCUCCGUGUGCCAAAAUUAGGCCACGGGCACAGCCGCGCCCAAAAAUCAGCCCCCGAAGGUCGGGGCGCCAAGACCCCCCAGCGGAAAAAUGGCCAAAAAACGGGUGGGCUAUAGCCUUGGUGGGGGGCGUGGUCGAAGUUCGUCCGCCGGACUCGGAAUGGCCCCAGACUUUGCGGGCGGCCUCCGUGUGCCAAAAAUAGGCCACGGGCAAAGCCGUGCCCAGAAAUGAGCCCCUGAAUGUCGGGGCGCCAAGACACCCCAGCGGAAAAAUUGCCAAAAAACGGGUGGGCUAUAGCCUUGGUGGGGGGCGUGGGCGAAGUUCGUCCGCCGGACUCGGAAUGGCCCCAGACUUUGCGGGCGGCCUCCGUGUGCCAAAAUUAGGCCACGGGCACAGCCGCGCCCAAAAAUCAGCCCCCGAAGGUCGGGGCGCCAAGACCCCCCAGCGGAAAAAUGGCCAAAAAACGGGUGGGCUAUAGCCUUGGUGGGGGGCGUGGGCGAAGUUCGUCCGCCGGACUCGGAAUGGCCCCAGACUUUGC